GGAGGGUUCGCAUAGCGGUCUAGUGCGCAGACCUGGAAAGUCUGUGUGGGGCAACCCACCGAGAGUUCGAAUCUCUCACCCUCCGCCA
rnacentral:tRNA from 1 species